ensembl:lncRNA
GUUUAGGACAGGGGACAGGGGACAGGGGUGAGGCAGGAUUUGAUGGACAGACAGGGAGGUUUAGAGGGGACAGGGGUGAGGCAGGGAUUUGAUGGACAGACAGGGAGGUUUAGAGGGGACAGGGGUGAGGCAGGGAUUUGAUGGACAGACAGGGAGGUUUAGAGGGGACAGGGGUGAGGCAGGGAUUUGAUGGACAGACAGGGAGGUUUAGAGGGGACAGGGGGUGAGGCAGGGAUUUGAUGGACAGACAGGGAGGUUUAGAGGGGACAGGGGUGAGGCAGGGAUUUGAUGGACAGAUAGGGAGGUUUAGAGGGAACAGGGGUGAGGCAGGGAUUUGAUAGACAGACAGGGAGUUUAGAGGGGACAGGGGGUGAGGCAGGGAUUUGAUAGACAGGGAGGUUUAGAGGGGACAGGGGGUGAGGCAGGGAUUUGAUGGACAGACAGGGAGGUUUAGAGGGGACAGGGGGUGAGGCAGGGAUUUGAUGGACAGACAGGGU